CCCAGGAUGACACGACAGCGCGCCUGGCGCUCUGCGUGCCCUUGGCGCACACCUUCCUGGGACUUGUAGUCGACGGCGAGCCCCCAGGAAGACGCGGCCCAGCGCACCUACGAUCCCGGUGGCCAGGCGUUGCCAUGGCUUCUCAGCGAGGAGGUGGCGGCGGCAGGCAACCCAGCUAGGCGCCAGCGGGCUUCGGCGGGAUCGCGGGCGCGGGAAGCGAAGGAAUCCGGCGUGAGCUGAGGAUUGAACCCAGGGCCUUCACACUGAGCUACAUCCCCAGUCUUAUUAAUUUGUUCGCCAAAAAGCGACUAGCCAGCUGGUGUGGAAGCAUGGCAGUGAGCCACUCAGUGAAGGAGCGGACCAUCUCCGAGAACAGCCUGAUCAUCCUGUUGCAGGGCCUUCAGGGGCAGGUGACCAGUGUGGACCUACGGGAUGAGAGUGUGGCCCAUGGACGCAUUGACAACGUCGAUGCUUUCAUGAACAUCCGCCUGGCCAAGGUCACUUACACGGACCGUUGGGGGCAUCAGGUUAAGCUGGAUGACCUCUUCAUAACAGGCCGAAAUGUUCGUUACGUCCACAUCCCAGAUGACGUGAACAUCACCGCCACCAUUGAGCAACAGUUGCAGAUCAUCCAUCGAGUGCGAAACUUUGGCAGCAAGGGCCAAGGCCGGCAGGAGUUUCCCACCAAAAAGUAUAAGUGAGGCUGUCACCUUAGCAAGUUCUAGCACCAGCUCAGGUUCCUCCCGAGUUCUGAGCCAACUCCUGCUAUCCCUCCCUGCCUGGAACCUGGUAUCGGACAGACACCACUUGCCACAGCUCCCUUUCACAGGGUUCCACCUCCCGGAUUCACCCUGGGACCCAGAAUCCUAUCUGGCUGCCUUUGGCCUUGGGGUGCUGGGCUUCCUGUUGGUGCUGUAUAGUAGGUCUCAUGGUUUCUAACUUGGCUGCAUGUUGGAAUCACCUGGCCCCCACCCAUCUCAGAUUCAGGUUAAAUUGGUUUGUGUUACUUCCUUGGUGCCACACACUGGAAAAAGAACAUGACUGUUCUUUGCUCUCUGACCCAGAGGCCCAGCUGACAGCCCCAGCAAGAGGUCCAGGAAAAGCUACUCUGUUGUCAGGGACCAUCUUUUUACCCAGUCACAGGCUCCCAGAUCCCCCUGUUACACAGUUUUCUAAAUUUAUUUCUGCACAGAAAUUCUUCCCAUUCCUCCCUGUGGGCUGGGCUUUUGAAAUAAAGAAGCUAAAAAUGAA